rnacentral:rRNA from 1 species
UACGGAGGGUGCAAGCGUUGUCCGGAUUUAUUGGGUUUAAAGGGUGCGUAGGCGGCCCGGUAAGUCAGUGGUGAAAGCCUCCAGCUCAACUGGAGAACUUGAGUACAGACGAGGGCGGCGGAAUGGAUGGUGUAGCGGUGAAAUGCAUAGAUACCAUCCAGAACCCCGAUUGCGAAGGCAGCUGCCUAGACUGUAACUGACGCUGAGGCACGAAAGCGUGGGGAGCGAACAGG